GUGGCUUCUCCGGGGGCCUCGGCUAACCUGCGCACUCCCUGCAAAUCGGCCUGGGUCGGGAGCGCAUCCCGUUUCAGCCCCCGACUGCGGAGCCCCCUGGUUUGGAGCAGCGCCGAAGGACCCACCGGCCACCCUUCCCGUUAGUAACAAGCUGGAGGGAGUGAAAGGAGUCCCAUCCAUAAGCCCAACGCCACCAUCCAGAGGGCUUUACAUCAGAAAAGCACGGAUGGCAAAGCGGCACGUGGCUACUCAUUCAUUCACUCAGCAGCCAGUUUACUGAACCUUCACCAUGUGCCAAGCACUGUGCCAGGUGCUGGGGAUACAGAGCAGAGUCCAGCAGAACACUAUUCACCCUGCCCUAGGAGCUUGCAAUCUAGUGCGGGAGGCAGACGAAAAAGAAUUGAAAAAAUAAUGACAUUUGGGAUAAGGCCUGUGCAGGAAAGAAGAGGGUGCAAAUUGUGUAGUUAGCAAAGGAGGAGGUGGCAUUUAAGCUGAGCCCUAAAGUUAUGAAAGAUGCAACCAUGGGAAGAGCCAGAAAAAAGCUUUCCAGAAAGAGGGAGCAGCUGUAUGAAAGCCAGAAGGAGUGGGCAAUCUUGAUGCCUUGGAACUAAGAGGUGGUGAUUGUGAUUGGCACCAGGAGAGCAGGGGAGAAUAACAUACUGUAAGCCUGGACAGGUUGGCAGGGACCAGAUCGUGGACUACAUCCUAGUCAAUAAGCAGACCGUUUUAUUCCAAAGUCAACGGGAGGCCAUUGACUGAAUGGCUUUAUCCCAGGGCGUGACAUGAUCUGAUUUAUAUUUCUUUUGAAUUUCUUUUUUGGGAGAUAAAUGUAGAUUCACACACAUUUGUAAGAAAUAAUACAGAGGUCGUAUGUACCCCUUGCCCAGUUUCCCCCAAUGCAAAACUAGAACAAGAACACAACCAGAAUAUUGACAUCAGUAAAAUCUACCCAUCUUAGUCAGAUUUUCCUGGUUUUACUUGUACUCUGUGUGUGUGUGUGUGUGUGUAUGAUUCUGUACAAUUUUAUCACGUGGUGUAGGCUCAUGUGUCCACCAUCACAGUCAAGAUACAAAAUAGUUCCAUCAUUACAAGGAUCCAGCCCGUUGCUCCUUUAUACCCACAGCCAGCUCCUCAGCCUCCCCAGUCCUUCGCCAUUGGUGACCGUUAAUGUCUCCCAUUUCUAUAGUUUUGUCAUUUCGAGAGUUUUAUGUAAAUGAAUCAUACAGUAUGCAACCUUUGGGGAUUGGCUUUUUUCAUUCAGCUUAAUUCCCUUGAGAUUCUUCCAAGUUGUUGCAUCCAUAGUCCAUUCUUUUUUAUUGCUGAGUCGUAUUCCAGGUCUGAUUUAUAUCUUUAAGAGACCAUUGCCGCUACCAUGUGGAGAAAGGUCCAGAGGAGACUGAGAAUCGAAACAGGGGGACUAAUUAGGAGGCUUGCCCAAUAGUCCCUCUCAAAGCUGAUGGUGUACAUUAGGAUGGUGCCUGUGGAGGGAAGUGGAAAGAUUUGCUGGAACAGGUUUGAAGAGGGAAUCGGAGUUGAAGUGGAGGCAGCAUAGUGUAGACAAUUGUUUUGAGACAUUUCAUGGUGGAGGUGAAUAGAAGUGGAGCGGAAUGAGAAGGAGAAGUAGAGACAACAGGAGGUUCCUGUCUCUUUUAAUUUGGGAGAUGAGAGCCUGUUGAGGAAUAAUCAGUAGGGUGGGACUGCUGAUGAGAGAAGGGCUUACUAAAGGAGUCGAGUCCCUGCCUAGCAGAGAUGAAAUGAGAGCUGGAUUCCACGUGGAGGAUAGGCCCGCCACCUGCUGAAAGGCCUUUCACUGUAAGGACCAUGGAUGUCUAUGCUGAUCAGGGGGCCGGCUGUAUGUAUAGAUCAAGCGAAUCCAGUCUGAUGACUCCUGUUUUCGCCUGUGGUGCACAAACUGGGCACUGGCCUCGCUUAGGAGAGAGCAUAAGCCCUUGCAAAGUUCCCUCCUCUCUCCCUGGCACCAGGGGCCUGGGCCUUCCCUUUUCCCAUUCCAAGCCCUCAGCAGCAGUGAAGUUUGGUUUUGGGGGAUGGCAAGAACUUCACACUUGUGAGGAAAAGAAGAAGGCCGUGUGCCCCACCCUGAUUUCGAGAAGGCUCUGAAUGUUCAGCUCCGCUUCAGGCAACUCCCUGAAGAGAAUACCAGCCCAGUGCCCUGCCCCAAAAUAGCUAAGAAGCACCCAGAUCCCAAGAUGGAGGGCUCUGCAUGAAGGGCCCUCUCCCAGGGAACCUUCUGUCCAUCCUUUGGUGCUCAAUCGGUGUUAGUUGUGGCUCAUUGUUCACAAGAUCCCUUUCUUCCUCCCCCUUCCUUUUCCGUCUUUACUUCCCCGUCCUUUCUGCCCCCCACCUUCUUUCCCACCUCCCCCACUUCCUUCCUCUCUUCCUCCCUUUUGCAGAUAUUUCCAGUGUGUUCCUAGUAGGUUCAAGGCACGGAUCUCACCUGGCCCCUGCUUGGUUUACACCCAAGGCCAGUCCCAUCUGCCUCUUAACAGUUCAUCUCCUUGGAUUUGAACUCAACUUUUGUGGGUCAUGGAAACACAUGGUUCCACUUGAAAUAUAUGGGGGACUGUGUUGCAGACUAAGCAAAACGGAUAAAAGGAAAGAGGCUGCCCAAAUUGGGAACUUGUGUGCUACAUUCUGGUAAUGUUUUUAGCAUCUAGAAGCAAAAAGAAAUUAAAUAGACUACAAUCAGAUGGUAUGAGCUCAUAUCUGAUCUUUUUCAUUUCUGUUUGAGUAAGAAAAUAGACAUGAGGAGAGGGUCUUAGAUUUUAACAGAAUUUAAAGCACCCUUAGAAGGAAAUAUGAAGCAUUUAUCAGCAUAUAAAGUAAUCAAGGCCUUUGCCUCCUCUUCCAAAAGUACCAUGAUGACAGAUGAUUCUAAGUGAUUGAAAGUGUGUUACUUAACCAGACAUGCAUCAUUUUAUUUACUCUUCGUUUUAUUUACUCUUCCUGUCAGAUACUAUUAUCCCUACUGUACAGAUGAGAAAACUGAGGCUCAAAGAGGUUAAGUAACUUUGAGUCAGAAUUUGAAACCAAGCAACAUGGCUCCAGAGCCCACAAUGCAAACCAAUAUACUACGCUUCCAAAUUGUUCAUCACUUUUACUGCGGUCCUCCAAAGUGGCUGCUUCUUUCUGAUCAGCCCUGAGCUAACAUCUGUGCCCAUCUUCCUCUACUUUAUAUGUGGAACGCCUACCACAGCAUGGCUUGCCAAGCGGUGCCACGUCCGCACCCAGGAUCUGAACUGGCAAACCCCGGGCCGCCGAGAAGCGGAACGUGCAAACUUAGCUGCAGUGCCACUGGGCCAGCCCUGGCCUAUUUUAAAGCAAAUGUAACACAUCACAUCAUUCCAUCCAGAAAUACUUGAGUAUAUACUGCUAAAAGAGAAAGACUUUCUUCUUUUUUUAACGUAAGUGCAAUAUCAUUAUCACACCUCAAAGCCAUGAACUAAAAAUCCUUAAUAUCAAGAAAUACCCUCUCAGGAUUUAGAAUUCCCCAGAUGUCUCCCAAAUGUAUUUUACAGUUUGUCUAUUCCAACCAGGAUAUUUUUAAAGCCUCUUUUAUUAUAUUUGAUUGAUUUGUCUCUAGUUAAUGGCUCAAUGAAUGGAUGGAUGGAUGAGUGGAUGAAUGAAUCUUCCCUACCUUCUGUCACCCACACCUCCCCCAGGCAAAUUCUAUUUUACAAAGACCCAUCUAUCUCAUGCCAGAACCUGCUCGAGCUUCUCUGUGAUACCCCAGCUCAAAGUAAUCUCUCUCUUUUCCUAUAGCAUUUUUCAUAAAGAUCUCUUGCUGUUAUUACAUUUAAUCUUAUAUUAAAGAUUUUGGGAAAACACCCUAUCUCUUGUAUAAUUUUUUCAGCUCCUUGAAGUAAGUAAAAUGCCUUAAUCACUAUUGUGUAUCUAGUGGCACCGAGCACAGGACCUUGUUCAUAUUAGGCAACCAAAUAAAUUGUUUCUAAACUGAAUGGAAUUUAAUUAAAAUCAAUAUUCACAGGAUCCUUUGGCUCCCCUCAAGAUAGCCAAAGGAUCAUGAGCUUUGGAAUCUUGCAGACAUGGAUUCAAGUCUAAACUAGGCCACCUGUUGGUUGUGUGGCCCAGGGCAAGUUAUAAACUCAGCUGUCUUCAAACUUUUUCGCUGUUGACUAUAGUAAAAAUGAAAACAAGAAAAGAUUAGAAAGAAAAAAAAGUUUUGCUCACAUCCUCCCUAAAAUAAUUUUGAAAACCUGUUUACCCCUCACAUAUUGUAAAUUGAUGUCUAAACAUUUUCAUCUCGUGUUUAAAUAGUUACCUGGCAAGUUAUUUGUGGUAUUUAGUAAAUAUUGACAUUCCAAAAU
rnacentral:lncRNA from 1 species